rfam:Vittaforma corneae ATCC 50505 unplaced genomic scaffold supercont1.4, whole genome shotgun sequence.
CACCAGGUUGAUUCUGCCUGACGUAGAUGCUAGUCUCUAAGAUUAAGCCAUGCAUGUUUCCGCAAUCAGGGACGAAUAGCUCAGUAAAACUGCGAUGAUUUAGUCUGGCUGUGUAGAUAACUACGUGAAAAUGUAGCUAAGGGAAGGCAGAAUAAGACGCAGGACUAUCAGUUAGUUGGUAGUGUAAUGGACUACCAAGACAGUGACGGUUGACGGGAAAUUAGGGUUUUGUACCGGAGAGGGAGCCUGAGAGAUUGCUCCCACGUCCAAGGACGGCAGCAGGCGCGAAAAUUGCCCACUCUUUGCAGGAGGCAGUUAUGAGACGUGAAGAUGAGUAUCUUGUAAAGAGGGAUAGGAGAAUUGGAGGGCAAGUUUGGUGCCAGCAGCCGCGGUAAUACCGACUCCAAGAGUGUGUAUGAGAGAUGCUGCAGUUAAAAAGUCCGUAGUCAUAGAAGGGCAAAGAGAGAUGCGAGGUCUCACAGUGCGAUGAUGGAGGAGCCGAUGGGGAACAUAGUAUACCAGGGCGAGAGAUGAAAUGCCAAGACCCCUGGUGGACUGAGCGAGGCGAAGGCGAUGUUCUUGUAGGCAUUCGGUGAUCAAGGACGAAGGCUGGAGUAUCGAAAGUGAUUAGAUACCGCAGUAGUUCCAGCAGUAAAAGAUGCCGACAUGCUCAUUGGACACAGUGGGCAGGGAGAAAUCUUAAGAGUUCGGGCUCUGGGGAUAGUAUGCUCGCAAGGGUGAAAAUUAAAGAAAUUGACGGAGCUACACCACAAGGAGUGGAUUGUGCGGCUUAAUUUGACUCAACGCGAGGAAACUUACCAGGGCCAAGUAUUGUGUAGAAACGAGCAAUACAGGAGUGGUGCAUGGUCGUUGGAAAUUGAUGGGAUGACUUUGACCUUAAAUGGUUGAAUGAGUGAGAUCUUUUGGACAUGUUCCGCACGGAACAGGAAGGAAAAGGCUAUAACAGAUCCGAGAUGCCCUCAGAUGCCCUGGGCUGCACGCGCAAUACAAUAGCAGGUAGAGAGAGAGACAGGAAGGUGCUCAGAUGGACUAUGUGCUGUAAGGCACAUACGAAAGAGGAAUUCCUAGUAAGUGUGUAUCAACAAUGGAUAUUGAAUAAGUCCCUGUAGCUUGUACACACCGCCCGUCACUAUCUCAGAUGUUUUUCAGGAUGAAGAGUCCAGGCUCUGAAUAAUGAAAAGUAGAUAAGAUGUAAGUCGUAACAAGGUUGCGGUCGGUGAACCAGCCGCAGGAUCAUUG